rnacentral:lncRNA from 1 species
AGAAGCACAGCAUCUGUGAAGCUUUCGGAAAUUAUCCCUCUGGCUCCAGCCCUUUCUAGAGAUCUCCACGCACAUCUCUGCAUGAAGGUUUCAGAGUCACUGGAUUUCCCAGGGCCUUCUCUUUGCUAGGAAUGUCUGAGACGUGCUCUGCAAGAUGAGUUGGCAGCAUCUCUGUGCCUCUGGUUUUGCCAGGCUCCACCAACAACCUGCUAAGAACUCUUCAUCCUCAAGUGCACUGAGGGGAACCCCAGUGAAGGCCAGUGAGGGAAACCACACAUCAUUGAGGGCCGACGGAGGCCCCCAAAGCCCAGAUUGCUGUGCUCCCCAGUAGGUCCCCAGACACCCUUAACACAGCUAUCUGCAGGAUUGAAUGAUUGCUGGGACCACACAAUUUACACUUGGCUCUCGUGGUCCGGAGGGGAGGACUGCGCCAGCAUCAGAAGACCAGAGAGCAAGUAAAUGGAAAUUUGGCGAGAUCCUGUGGCUGCUGUUGGUGGCUGCAGCCAGACAGGAAAACUGAGAUGGUGUGAGCAGAAAGGGCUGGAAGGAGUUGGCUUUUUCCAAGAAAUUACAGCGGAAUCUUCUUCCAAGAGGCUGGGGGCCUCUGCAGACGUGAUCUCAUUACUUACCCCCCAAAUCCCCCAGCUUCCCUACCGA